GUUCGUUUCCUGACGUUUUUCGAAUUCCCGCGAGUGUCUUUGUUGUUGUAGUAUGAGAUAUCGCGCCUUCGUAUUUUCGCCUGCCUAAGGCUGGUAGUCGAUGAUACCAAAAAUUUUACGUUAUAACUCGUUAAGUUAUGUUUUACGUAUUCAGUGCAGAAUAAAGUUUUACGUUAUAAUUCUUAUUUUCCUGUUUUUAACUUUAAGUGCCCUCAUAAUGGCUACUGCUAGCCUAUCUUUUGCAUAUAUAAAUGUUCGUUAUCUCAGGAGGUAUCUCCAAGAUCCUCUCAGCAUGUCCAGUUGUCUGUUGUUAACUACUCGGGCUUCUCUCUGUGCUUUGAAAAUCUGAAUAUUUUCCGCUAUGUAUAGUUCUUCUGGGUUCUGCACCAUUUUAAAUAUCUCUCCUUCUUCUCAUUUGACAUUGAUGUCCCC
rnacentral:lncRNA from 1 species